ACAUGCCUACAACAUAGUGUUAAUGCAAUAGAUCCCAUUAGAACUCCGCAGUUAAGAGUUCUUAGGCUAGAGUAGUACUAGGAUGGGUGACCGCCCGGGAAGUCCUAGUGUUUUACAUGCC
rnacentral:rRNA from 1 species